AGUUUUCCUAAAGAUAAAUUGACUUGUUCAUGGAACUGUACACUACAUCUUUCUUUAUACAGCGUAGAGAUGUGUGUCACAGCUAUUAUGGAUUGCAUUUAAUAUAUAUAUUUUCACAGUUAUGAAUCCGAAUGACUUCUCACAGUCAAUCCAGGAGUAGAUAGUGCGACACUCUGAAUGUGGAAAGAACAGUCAAAGUCUUAGACUUGGGAUUAUGGGUGCAAUAAUUUUUGUGCCGUUACUAGUAGGAGUAGCAGCAGGAAUAAUAUACACAUUCAGGCUCCUUCAAAAGAAAUACAACUGAUUUGUUUGGUAAGACAGUGUUGUUUAUUUACAUAUAAAAAAGGUGUCUUAACUGGUUUGGCUUCAAAUUAACAUCUAGACAAUUUUUUGUUCUUUAGGUCCUUCAGGACAAGAUCAGGAAUACCACGUACAGGAGUCAGAAAGAGGUGAAAUUCAUCACUCAGGUUCCAAAGGAAUGUCUUAAAGCACUGAAUGGCUCAACUGAGCAGGGAUCAGUUAGUGGCACUUCAGAAGACACCACACACACACACACUUU